AGCAGCCGCGGUAAUUCCAGCUCCAAUAGCGUAUAUUAAAGUUGUUGCAGUUAAAAAGCUCGUAGUUGAAUUUCGGGAUCAAUACGUCGGUCGUGCUUCGGUACGUACUGGCGUAAUUGAUUUCUCCCUUCUGACGAACCAUGAUGUCAUUAACUUGGUGUCAUGGGAAAUCAGGACUGUUACUUUGAAAAAUUAGAGUGUUUAAAGCAGGCUCACGCUUGAAUACAUUAGCAUGGAAUAAUGAAAUAGGACGUUCGAUCCUAUUUUGUUGGUUUUAGGAUCAACGUAAUGAUUAAUAGGGAUAGUUGGGGGCAUUAGUAUUCAAUUGUCAGAGGUGAAAUUCUUGGAUUUAUUGAAGACUAACUACUGCGAAAGCAUUUGCCAAGGAUGUUUUCAUUAAUCAAGAACGAAAGUUA
rnacentral:rRNA from 1 species